GUGACCUUCGAGGUCAUCUCAUAUCUUACUGAGUUCUGUUUCAGUGCAGACUCUAAAAUUGUGCCUGUGAAAGGUGAUAGUGUUUGCAGGAUUCAGGAAGCGGGACCCAUGGACAUAGGGCAGGAUUUCACCCAUCCAUCAACUGGACAUCUGUCUGCUGACUGUUCCAGAGCUGUUUGGACCUGACGGCCCCCAUUCACUGCAUGAAGAUCCACUGGAGAGCAAAUGCUGUAAUGCUACAUUUCUCCAGAUCUGUUUUGAUGAAGAAACAAAUUCAUCUACAUCUUGGAUGGCCUGAGGGCCCUAUCUCUCUGUUGGUCGCUGUCUCAGUGGGAU
ensembl:lncRNA